AGCGAACGCUGGCGGCAGGCCUAACACAUGCAAGUCGAACGAACUCUUCGGAGUUAGUGGCGGACGGGUGAGUAACACGUGGGAACGUGCCUUUAGGUUCGGAAUAACUCAGGGAAACUUGUGCUAAUACCGAAUGUGCCCUUCGGGGGAAAGAUUUAUCGCCUUUAGAGCGGCCCGCGUCUGAUUAGCUAGUUGGUGAGGUAAAGGCUCACCAAGGCGACGAUCAGUAGCUGGUCUGAGAGGAUGAUCAGCCACAUUGGGACUGAGACACGGCCCAAACUCCUACGGGAGGCAGCAGUGGGGAAUCUUGCGCAAUGGGCGAAAGCCUGACGCAGCCAUGCCGCGUGAAUGAUGAAGGUCUUAGGAUUGUAAAAUUCUUACACCGGGGACGAUAAUGACGGUACCCGGAGAAGAAGCCCCGGCUAACUUCGUG
rnacentral:rRNA from 1 species